CCUGGAGACUCCUACGGGAGGCAGCAGUGGGGAAUAUUGCGCAAUGGGGGGAACCCUGACGCAGCCAUGCCGCGUGAAUGAAGAAGGCCUUCGGGUUGUAAAGUUCUUUCGGUAUUGAGGAAGGAGUGUAUGUUAAUAGCAUACAUUAUUGACGUUAAAUACAGAAGAAGCACCGGCUAACUCCGUGCCAGCAGCCGCGGUAAUACGGAGGGUGCGAGCGUUAAUCGGAAUAACUGGGCGUAAAGGGCACGCAGGCGGUUAUUUAAGUGAGGUGUGAAAGCCCCGGGCUUAACCUGGGAAUUGCAUUUCAGACUGGGUAACUAGAGUACUUUAGGGAGGGGUAGAAUUCCACGUGUAGCGGUGAAAUGCGUAGAGAUGUGGAGGAAUACCGAAGGCGAAGGCAGCCCCUUGGGAAUGUACUGACGCUCAUGUGCGAAAGCGUGGGGAGCAAACAGGAUUAGAUACCCUUGUAGUCCUAG
rnacentral:rRNA from 1 species